rnacentral:rRNA from 1 species
UAGGGGAAUCUUCCACAAUGGGCGAAAGCCUGAUGGAGCAACGCCGCGUGUGUGAUGAAGGGUUUCGGCUCGUAAAACACUGUUGUAAGAGAAGAAUGACAUUGAGAGUAACUGUUCAAUGUGUGACGGUAUCUUACCAGAAAGGAACGGCUAAAUACGCGCCAG